rnacentral:rRNA from 1 species
UACGUAGGGGGCAAGCGUUGUCCGGAUUUAUUGGGCGUAAAGAGCGUGUAGGCGGCUAGAUAGGUCCGUUGUGAAAACUCGAGCUCAACCUCGAGACGCCGGUGGAAACCAUCUAGCUAGAGUCCGGAAGAGGAGAGUGGAAUUCCUGGUGUAGCGGUGAAAUGCGCAGAUAUCAGGAAGAACACCCGGUGGCGAAGGCGGCUCUCUGGUACGUGACUGACGCUGAGACGCGAAAGCGUGGGGAGCGAACAGG